UGCAGCGUCACCUAACGGCAAGGUACUCGGCUCAUAACCGAGGAUAUGCGGGUUCAACUCCCGUCGCUGCUACCA
rnacentral:tRNA from 2 species